CCAACUACUACGUGAGGCCCAUCAUGAACGCUGUGAGUUUGGAGAAGGCGGCUAAUGAUCUCCCAGUGCGCCUCUUUACCCAGACAGCACGGCAGGAUGAUUCAGCAGUGGCACGGCCGUGAUGCUGACAGCACUGUUGCCAAAAUGACUCAUCCUGAUGAUGAAGCCAAAGAAAGAAAAAGGAGAGAAAACCUCAUGAGCUCAAGACGGUUGCUGCUGAUUCUGCUCAGUGUCAGCCUUUUUCCAUGCUGAAGAGGACAUGGAUCAAAGCAAGAUCAACUCACUGUGGAACUUUCUCACCAUCCUUUAUAAAACAAGUCAAAGUAUCCAUUCAUUAAUCACUACCCACCCAGCACAAAUAAACAGCUUGCACCAAGUAUCGACUAUAUGCAUUGUAAAGCGGAGCAUGGUCCAUAUGGGCAGCCACAAUGUGUCUCCCCUCUUUUCUCUAGUUUGGCCUCAAAACUGACAGUUGGUAGAUUAGUUAACCAAAAAAUGCAAGUAAUUCAUCAUGGAGACGGGGGUUUAAUGUAAACAGUAUGUUGCCCCUAGAGGUUGUUUCCAUGAUGAUGAAGGGAGGAGAUGAGCCAGAUGGAUCUCUGCAUACAAUUUAUGACGCCAAUAAAUCAGUAUAAACACACACACACACACACACACACACACACACACACGUCUUUUAAGAGGUUCCCAAAAAGAACAAUGUGUCCAGUUCAUUAUGUUAUGUUAUUGACAGCGGCAGGGAGAGUGACUGGAGAGUAUGAAGUUAAAACUUCUUCGGGAUCGGUGUCCCUUCCACGGGACGGUUGAGCUAACGUAGGCUAAUGCGAUUAGCAUGAGGUUGUAAGUUACAAGAAAUUUCCCCAGGAGAUAGUC
rnacentral:lncRNA from 1 species